rnacentral:tRNA from 1 species
GGAAAGAUGGCUGAGUGGUUAUAGCAAUAGAUUGCUAAUCUAUACAUUGGCGAAGCUGAUGUCGAGGGUUCGAAUCCCUCUCUUUCCU